CCUACGGGUGGCAGCAGUGGGGAAUAUUGCACAAUGGGGGAAACCCUGAUGCAGCGACGCCGCGUGAGUGAAGAAGUAAUUCGUUACGUAAAGCUCUAUCAGCAGGGAAGAAACACUGACCUUACGGUCAGCAGACGGUACCUGAGUAAGAAGCCCCGGCUAACUACGUGCCAGCAGCCGCGGUCAUACGUAGGGGGCAAGCGUUAGCCGGAUUUACUGGGUGUAAAGGGAGCGUGGACGGUGCGCCAAGUCUGGAGUGAAAUGCCGCAGCUUAACUGCGGAACUGCUUUGGAAACUGGCGAACUAGAGUGCGGGAGGGGUAAGCGGAAUUCCUAGUGUAGCGGUGAAAUGCGUAGAUAUUAGGAGGAACACCGGUGGCGAAGGCGGCUUACUGGACCGUAACUGACGUUGAGGCUCGAAAGCGUGGGGAGCAAACAGGAUUAGAUACCCGGGUAGUC
rnacentral:rRNA from 1 species